rnacentral:siRNA from 1 species
AGUGCCGCUCACGCCCGGUCGUAC